rnacentral:lncRNA from 1 species
CAAACAUAGAAGGGUUCCUUUCUCUUUUUUCUGUGAUGGAAGGGAAUUGAAUCACUAACUAGAAGCCAGAUUCAACUUCCCUUAAAGUGAAUUUGUUCUUGAUGGUGGGAGAAGACCCACAAGGUUUCACAACUAGGACUUAACUUGUGCUACACUGCACACAUGGAGAAGGAAGAGGGAAAGACAGGACAUACUGCCACUCUCUGGAUGUGCUGGACAAAUUGCCUCAACAGCUGUUUUGAUUUUUUCUUUUAUUUGGUUUCAUGAUUUGGGAUCGCUUCCGUGCAGGCUUGCUACAAAGAAAACUAUUUCUGUGCCCUUUUGUGCUGUGAAGUCUGCGUCCACACCAACUUGGCUGAAGGAGUCUGUGCUGCUGUGACUCAAGAGAGUCUGGAACAGCCUCCUCCUCACAUCCUUUUUGCACAUUGUCUUGAGGGGAAUUCUUGCGGACGACACCCAGACACCAUCCCAUGCUGCGCUGCUCUAAGUAGAGUUUCGCAAUUGCCUUACUGUGCAGAAGGGAACAAGGAACUUGGCCACAACCAUUUCCGAAGCUCCUUACGCUGUGCUGUGCUUUAUCAGAGCUUUUGUGUUCCAGGCAUAGUGGAGGUGCCAGCUCACCCUUCUACUGCAAAAUGGGCACUUCAGGCAAGAGAAGCAGUCUCCUGUGUCUUGCCUCAUGCUGCCACCACCAAAAGCUUGAGGCCCAGAAAAAUGGUGUGUGAGCUUAGCAUCGGAACAGCAUUUUUUGCUGUUGGUCUGUCCCUGUGCUCUGAAGUAACACUGUGCUCUGAGUCCCCAUGGAAACUUUGUAUUGCAGAAGACGAUGACACAACGUGAUACGAGUUGCUAUAUUUGCUAAUUCUGGCCAGCAGGAUAAAGAAUUGCUGAUUCCUGGGGAUACAUGCUUUCUCUCUGGUCAGAACCAGCUAAUGAACUAGGUAAGACUGAUGCUGGGACCAAUCACUUAAAAAAUUAAAUUGUUUGUCUCACCAACCCAUGUAUCAGUAGUAAAAAUAAAUUCAACUUGUGCAGAAAUGAUAUGCUUUGC